GGCGGGUAGCGAACAUGGCGUUCAAGUGGUUUAGAAGUCCAUGCCACUGGUUAGUAGCCGGUGAGGGUUCGAUUCCUUUACCCGCCUCC
rnacentral:tRNA from 1 species